AUUGAACGCUGGCGGCGUGCCUAAUACAUGCAAGUAGAACGCAGUUUAGAACGGGGGAGUAACGCGUAGGUAACUGCCUCAUCGCAGGGGAUAAAGAUUGGAAACGAUAGCUAAUACCGGAUACUUUGAGAUUGACCUGCGGUGUAAUAGCUAGUUGGUGAGGUAAAUGCUCACCAAGCCGACGAUACAUAGCCGAACUGAACGGGUGGUCGGUCAAACCUGGACCUAGACACGGCCCAGACUCCCACGGGAGGCAGCAGUAAGGAAUCUUCGGCAAGAGACGGAAGUCUGACCGAGCAACGUCGCGUGAGUGAAGAAGGUUUUCGGAUCGUAAAGCUUUGUUGUUAGAGAAGCGGUAACUAACCAGAAAGGGACGGCUAACUACGUGCCAGCAGCCGCGGUAAUUC
rnacentral:rRNA from 1 species